rnacentral:rRNA from 1 species
GUAGGGAAUAUUGGGCAAUGGAGGCAACUCUGACCCAGCCAUGCCGCGUGCAGGAUGACGGCCCUCUGGGUUGUAAACUGCUUUUAUACGGGAAGAAAAAAUACUACGUGUAGUAUACUGACGGUACCGUAAGAAUAAGGAUCGGCUAACUCCGUGCCAGCAGCCGCGGUAAUACGGAGGAUCCAAGCGUUGUCCGGAUUUAUUGGGUUUAAAGGGUGCGUAGGCGGAUCUUUAAGUCAGUGGUGAAAGCCUGCAGCUUAACUGUAGAAUUGCCAUUGAAACUGAAGAUGUUGAAUGUGGUUAAAGUAGGCGGAAUGUAUCAUGUAGCGGUGAAAUGCUUAGAUAUGAUACAGAACACCGAUAGCGAAGGCAGCUUGCUGAACCAUUAUUGACGCUGAGGCACGAAAGCGUGGGGAGCGAACAGGAUUAGAAACCCGGGUAGUCC